rnacentral:lncRNA from 1 species
UGCUAUCUCUCUCUACUUCCCCUGCUACCUUUCUUCUCUGAACCUACCUACUGCUUCUCUCUCUCUCUCUGAAAUUGUUGUAGUACUAAGAUUUGUAAGACAGUGUACUACAACCUGUUAAUUGUUCAGUUCAGAUUUUUGCUUGUUUAGUAUUAUUCUGUUGAUCUGUCCUAAUCUUGUGGCUAGUAUAAUUUCGUUUCUGUUGUUACUUGUGUAACCUGAACCGAGGUUAGUAUCCUAUUUGCAUAUGUGUGUUUUGUGUGUUCUGUAGUCCCUGUAUUAGUUACGUACCUGUGAUAUAUAAAUGUGUGUGUGCGUGUGUGUGUGUGUGUGUGUGUGUAAUUCAUCAAAAUAUAUUGUUGUGUGAUGAUGAUAUAUGUUCAGUCUAGAGACACGUUGUUUUUCUUGCUUUGUAGAUCGAUGUGAACUAGUACUCUUGUGUGUUUCUGUUGUCACUAGUUAAAUUGAUCACCUAUGUACUACUUGUUGUAGAAACUUGUUACAUUAGUCCUUGUGCUAGCUAUGCACCUGUGAUAAAUAUGUGUGUGAUGUGAAACAUUUCUGUUCUGUCCUAUAAUAUUGUUUCCUCCCUCUUUUGCUUGUCAUUAUGCUAUAUGUGUUCAUGUCCUAAUGUUUCCCUUUAUGUUAGUUUCUAAUUUCUCAUGCCUAAUAAAAAUACCAAAAGAGAGCAAGUAAGAUCUGAUCCUCCCUUUGCUAUUUUGCCUUUUCUUUGUGGAUCAUCUUCGGGAGCAACCUUGUUUAGUUUAGGUUUAUUUUCUUGCAGCCAUAAUCUCAAUUGUGUUACCUAGAUUUAGCUGAGCAUAGUCGCCGUCGCCUAGUCCCUGAGGGGAACACGACACUCGCGAUUUGGGCGAAAUAUCCCACCGCAUUUACAAACGAUCAUUUUGGCGCCGUUGCCGGGGACUAGCAUCGAGUGACAGUGUUAGGCUAUAGACUAGGUUUUUCUUGUUUUCAUUUUGUGCCAUAUAUUUGUGAUAUAUCUCUAGCCACUAACCCCUGUUCUAGGUAGUAUCUUUUUGUCUUCUUUUCCUUUUUUGCAGGUUGGAUUAUCCUCUCGGAAAUGGCAUUCUAUUCGGAUCAUCAGGCUUAUGCGAGCAACACUACAAACAACAUGAAAAGAAUUCAAGAACUGAUAAGUAAGAUUUCCCAUCGAUUAGAUGAUUUAGCUCGGCAGCGAGAAGUAGUUUUUGUGGAUAGUCCUAGCUCUUAUGAUCCUUAUUCUGGAGGCCAUCCUUAUGUUGCUCCUACUUGCCAUAUUUGUGGAUUUCAGGGCCAUUCGCUCGCUGAAUGUCAGCGUGGUUACUCUCGCCCUCCAGAUUGUUUUGGCAUGAGCUUUGCUCAAGAGCAUAGCUCAUACCAAAACAAUUACUCACAUGGGUGGCCUGAGAACCCGAAUAUGUCAUUUAGGAGCAACAACCCUGAGAUCUUAUCAUUUGCCUCUAGUAAUCCAAUGCAGGGAUUUAGGUAUGAAGAGGAGAGCCACAACUAUGCUCCACAACAGUUUUAUUCACCUCCUACUCAUAUACCGCAGCACCAGGAGAUGUGUCCAAUGGAGUUAAAUGGUCCUCCGUUUGGUCAACCAACAACUUCAGCACCUAAUGAGUCGGUAGAGCAAUCUCAUGUGCAGGGAUUUAGGUAUGAAGAGGAGAGCCACAACUAUGCUCCACAACAGUUUUAUUCACCUCCUACUCAUAUACCGCAGCACCAGGAGAUGUGUCCAAUGGAGUUAAAUGGUCCUCCAUUUGGUCAACCAACAACUUCAGCACCUAAUGAGUCGGUAGAGCAAUCUCAUGUGCAAGUGCCCACACAAGAUGAGUUCGAUGACAUAGACAAACUCACACUUUUGAGUCUCGAGUUCACUUGGAGUGCCGAGGAUGAUCCUAUUAGGAAGGUUAUACUAGAGGAAAUGAAGAGGAUCAAGAGUGGAAAAGAGCUAGUGGAAGAAGUAAGGAAGAUUGAGAAGAGCAUCAAUGCUGGCAGCACUAUUUCUUCACAACUAGAGCUGAGUAUUUCUGGGAUAUCCUUUGAUACAUGUGAGGCUCCAACACCGUCACAUCCAGCUGAGCAAGAUAGAAAAAGUCCAGAGGAAGAGAGACCUUAGAUUGAAGUUGAACUCAAGGAACAAGAUGAUCAAGAGCUACAAUUUCCAAGUGAUCAAGUUGAAGACUCAUCAUCUACUACUCCUAAAGAAGUACAAGAAGCUGUUGUAGAUGAAGAUGAAGAACCUGAGAUUCAUUGGCCUAUUGUCAUACAUGAACCUGAUAUGUCAGGUUUACCCAAUCCUCUUGAUGACAUGCUGCCUUGUGAUUUCUUUGCUUCUAACUUGCAUUGCAUGAUGCCAUCACUUAAGGUAGAUUUGAAAAACUAUUUGCUUGGACAUGAUCAUACACACCCUGUUAGUGGCAUUGCUCAUAUCUCUGUUCAUGAUACUUAUGUUCCUGAUGCUAUACACAUGCUUAAUGAAACGUGUGAUUCUAAUACUAGCAUUGAGCUUACUGAAUUGUACCAUCCUAAACAUGUGCUUUAUAGCUAUGCUUAUGUAAUUGGGUACUCUAUUGAUGAUUUAGAGGGCAUUACCCUUGUCACUUGUAUCGCCUCCUUGGUUGAGUGCUCUUUCAGCUUGUUGCUUGUGCACGAUCCACUACAUGCUGGCCAAGUUCGAGAUGACAUUCCUUGGGACCCCGGUGGACCCAUGGCAUGGGGAUGAGGAGAAGCAAGGAGCACACAUGAAGAGAGAAGCUGUGCCGGCAUGAGGAUAGGGAAGCAAAAGGAGAGGAGUCACAAUGCAAGAGGAUGUGAGAUGAUCGAGCGAGUGCUACAUCAAAGCCCGGUGAGCUGUUUCAUGACCCAUUCCGAGUAUAUCAUCCAUUGAUGCUUGCUGAAUUAAAUUGCUAUUUGGGUUGCUUGUGCCAUUUCUUAAAUGUUGUCCCACAGAUUUUUCACCUUUGACAUAUGGUGCUUGAUGAGAAUAUGUGAACUGAUUGUUGAAUGCCUUGUAAACUAGUGAUCUACAUCCUGUUUGCUUUGCUGAAAGUAGUGAAAGCUAUUAGUUUUGAGUGCUCAAAUCCCUAGUGCACUAGUAAACUUAAUCAUUUUCUGCUUUUACCUUGAUACACCUAAAUCAUUAAGUGUCGGAUGCUGAGUUUGUGCCUAAUGUGUUCCCAUUGAGAGCAAUCACUUACCAUUAUGGAUUAGCAUGCUAUGUUCUCUGGAUCAGUAGCAUGUGAAGUAGACAUGGAUGAGUGAUGAUUCUUGAUUUUGUUCAUUUAAAAAAUGAAAAAUAUAUAUCUUAUAAUGAAUAAAUAAGUCUGACUACCUACAGUAGCAUGUCAUGUUCCCUAGAUCGGUGGCAUGUGGAAUCGGGUUAGCUUGGGCAGUAAUUAAUAAUAAAAAUGUAAUUGUCGAACCAGGUGUAUACCAUAUUCUUGGGAUCGGUGGUAUGUUCCUUUGGGGAGACAAACAAAAAAAACUAAUAAUUGGUCGAGCCGGGUGUAUACCAUGUUCUCGGGAUCGGUGGUAUGUUCCUUUGGUGAGAUCAAUAAAAUAUUAUCAUUACUUUCUUCAAAUUCAAUAAGUGCUUUCAACUGCAAUGUUGUGUUCCUGGUAAUAAGUGAUCUGAUCUCAAGUUUAAGUUUUUUUUGUUUUUGGGAUCAGGCUCUCUUUAGGAACCUUUUGGCACAAUCAGCAUUUGAACUUACUAAUCUUCUUUUAUCAUUGUAAAAGUUUAAAAUGGCCAAGUCUACUAGUAUCCUACUGCUUUGUAGCACUCUAACCAUUAAUUUUCACUAACUAAGUCUGAAGCAUGCACUGUUUAGAGAUCUACUUCACUGGGACAUUCUCCAGUCAGCUCACUGUUCAUUAUCUAGCUCUUGUCAUAUUCCUUUACUUGAGGACAAGCAAAAGUUUAAGUGUGGGGGAACUUGAUAAGCACAUUUCUUAUAUAGAAUUUUGGAACACAAAUUCAUCAUUUAUUGAGAUAUAUUGUCGGUGACGGUUGCAGGGGCGCGGGGUUGCGAGAAGAGCAGGGCUAGUAGACAGCACAAAGAUCGUUUAUCCAGGUUCGGGCCGCGAGGAUGCGUAAAACCCUAGUCCUGGUUUGGUGGGUGUAUUUCAGAGAGUUCUUGAGCUCUCGGACUAGAUGUGGUCAGUGCAUGGUUCAAAAGAGCCGAAUCCUUCUCCAGUAUGUCAUGGGCCUCCUUUUAUAGUCGGAAGGGGCUGCCACAGUGGCACACAGGAGGUGGAAAGGCGUACAGUGCCCUGAGCUUAUCGCUCGUAUUACAGGUGAUAGAGGCGAGGGUGUCCCGAUCUUUCGAUGAGAUGAUAACUAUCGAUUAGGUGGAGUCGACUUUGACGAUCCGACUACAAACGUGCACGACGUUGCGCCUUAGCAAUCGCUAAACCAACUUCGAGAGGUUAUUGACCUCGCCGGAGCACGAUCAACCUGACCACGAAGGUCUAUUCCUGCAUGCAAUCAAAGAACAAGCAAGAAUAUGAUAAUGCAAUCUGAAUAUUGCGAAUAUAGAUGAAGUAUUGAUAAAGAUAGGGAUCCAUAAGCGGUCUUGGUCUGGUCGUUGGACACAAACGAAGUACACGAAGUUGCAAUGGCUAACUUUUAACUAAACAAAUCCCAAGCAAAAAGCUACUAGAUGGAUCUACUUAUAUAGGAGCAAGGGGUGGAGGCCAAAAAGGUGGGAGGACGUCCCAAGGCAGCCUAAAACCAACCCUAGGUCGUACAAGGCUCAUGGGCCCAAGUGGAGGUGAUGCAACACCUUUGGACUUGUUUUUGACUCGGAUUUUGCUGCAGCGUCAGAUUGUUUCGUCCAUAUCUCAAUGCUCCGGACGAAUUUAAAGGUGAAUCCAAUUGGGUUGGAAAGAGGACGAAAUUUACUUUCCAACAAAAAAAGAAUCACCCAAUUCGGAGUCCGUAUGAAAAAGUUGUUGGCGUUUUGAGUCAGGUAUGUCUGUGCAGUCCGAAUCUGAAUCCAGAACGUGAGAGACUUGGACUCUAUCUUCUCUUGGCCCAAAAGUGACGUGAGAGGACUUUUUGAAUAGAACCUAAACUUCUCCUUUUCCCCUAUCUUCAUAUGUGGAUUGUAUAAAUGUCCCAUACACCUGCAAUUAGACAAAACACAAAAGUGUGUGAAGUAUUUUUGUUCUGGAUAACAUAAAUAGAUUAUUGAAUAAUUUGCACUAGAAAUCACCUGACAAAUAUGCAUGUAUGCAAUAUUUUUGGUCGUAUCCAAGGUAGUCAUGUCCUCAUCAUCCUCCCCUUCUUGAAAAUAAAGCCGUCCUCGGCGUUGCUUAAUCUGAAAUGUGGCUAACAAAAGAGACAAGGUGUACAUGUUGUAUAUGUAUAUGUCAUCCAUUUUUACUUCCCGUGGAUUUUGCACAUAUGACACAUGUAUACAUGAGUAACUUUCAUAGUUAAUAAAAUAUAAAGCCAAAAUAUUAUUACAAGUAGAAGGCAUGAAAGUAUUGCAACUCAGUUUGCACAUAUAAGUGAAGCUCUUAUUCAUAUGAAAAGAUUGACAAUAUUCAUCAUUAAACCAUCCCAACAUUGGUGAAUAAACCUUACUUGCAUUAAAUUUACAUGCUACAACAUGCUUAAAUAAGCAAACAUGCAAUAAGUCAUUUGACACAGAAUCAUCACCAAGAUUAGAGGUCAUAUCAAAAUGAUUAAACAUUGGUUCUUUUGCAUCAACAAUUAAUUCAUUGGGUCCACUCAAAAUUGUUGGUAUUUCAGAUGUUUGAUCACAUGACGCAUUCAUGACAGUAACAUGAUUCUCUAGAUUAGGUGAUGCGCUCAAAUCAAUAGGUAACUCAACACAUGAUGUAUUCAAGUUAACUAGGCAUGCAUCAUUCUCAUGUGAAGUUAUAUCAUCAAUACCUUUACAGUUACCUUGUCGUAAAGAUGUAGCUGAUGUAGGUACGGAUGAUGGCAAUGUACCAUACUCUUGAGAUGAUGUCGCGCUCACAAUCUGAGGUGUGGCUGCUCUAGUAGGUGCGACGGUGGAGGAGCCAAGCGGUGGUGGUGAGCAUGAACUAGAAUAGUAGUUGUUGUAGUCAUCCAAUGCAUCCUCCUGUAACUGUCUCUCAAAGGUACAAGCACGAACAUACAUACCAGAUACUGAAAUCGUGCCUGAAUAUCAUGGUUCAAACCACCAAAAAAUCUAUUCAUUGUAUCAUCCUCAGAUUCUUCUAUGUCACAAUGAUGCAUAUAAGAUUUGAACUCUUGGUAGUAAGCAUGAACAGUGUCGUUGCCUUGUUUAAAUUGUUCAAAUUUGCAAAGCAAUUCACGACGAUAGUAAGGAGGGAAAAAUUAUUGUCUCAUUACCUCUUUCAAAUCUUUCCAAGUUGUGAGUUGGUUAUCAAUGUUUUUCUUACAAUGCACACUCCACCAAACAGAAGCAAAACCAGUAAAUGCUCUAGUGGCAGCUCGUACUCGCUCAAGUUCAGAAAAGUCAUGGUGACUAAAAACUUGUUCUACUUCAACCUCCCAAGCUAGAUAAAUAGCAGGAUUAAAUCUACCCUCAAAUGACGGUAAAGAGAUAACCUGACCAUGUACUUGUGUGUGUUGUCCCAACUCUUGUGAUGGUGAUGAUGUGUCCGUCGUCCAAGAACUUCUAUCUCCGGAACCUGUCAUGAUUAGUAGAAACAAGAAACAAAAUUCGAGAAUAAUGUUCUGAUGAACUACUAGGAUGUGGUUGCAAAGUGCUCACAGUAAAGAAAAUAUCAAUAUCUUGCUCGUUCUUCGAUUGCUUGCAGGAAUAUACCUUCGUGGUCAGGUUGAUCGUGCUCCGGCGAGGUCAAUAACCUCUCGAAGUUGGUUUAGCGAUUGCUAAGGUGCAACGUCGUGCACGUUUGUAGUCGGAUCGUCAAAGUCGACUCCACCAAAUCGAUAGUUAUCAUCUAAUCGAAAGAUCAGGGCACCCUCGCCUCUAUCAAGUGGUAUCAGUUUUCAGGUUGCUCGGUGAGAAUUUCCAGUUUCCCCUAGAUUAGAUUUAUUUUCUUAUCUAUUGUCCAAGAAAAAGCCACAAAAAAGUUAGAUCUAUUCAUCCUUUUGUCCAAGCCAGUCUGAGCCUUUGCAAUUUUCUUUUCAUUGUUUGCAUUAUUGAAUUAUCGGUUGCAUCGUCGUGUCGAAUUGCUGGUCUUAGGGUCUAGUUCGUUUAGAGUUUCGAGUUCUGUUCACAUUAGUCACGUCGCCGCUGCAUCGUUAUCCCUUCCGCUGUCCACCACACCAUCCAUCAAUUUCCACCACGUGCUACCCAUAGUUCAUUGUCACAAUCAUAGUUGAUGUCGUUCACAUCUUCGCUUGAUCCAAUCUGCAUCUUAUCUAGUUUGUCUUAGAGGGAGAGAAAAAAAGACAGAGAAAAAAAGAGAGAAAAAAAGAAAAAGAAGUCGGAGAAAAAAAAGAGAGAAAGAAAAAGAAAAAAAAAGUGUGAGGAAAAAAAGAGAGAAAAAACAACAAAAUUGUGUGAAGUAUCCAAUAUGCAUGCAUGCAAUAUUUUUGGUAGUAUCCAAGGUAGUCAUGACCUCAUCAACAGGACAAGACACAUUUAAUGCGUAGCUUAGGUGUCCCCUUGCUUUAUUGGGGACGGGGGCGAGGCUCGUCCCGUCCGUCGCCGCUCCUCCAUGCUUUGACACGUGCCCUGGCCAGUGAGGCACAUGGUGCCAUGUAGGCAGGCAGGCAGCUGAGGUGGCGCAGUGCCGGAGCCUUCACGAAGAUCUGCAUGCCGCCACGCAGGCGCUCGAUGAGUUGGCCUGGGAGCUGCAUGUUGUCACGCAGGUGCCCGCCCAGCUGGUUGGGCUGGCAGCUGCAUGUGAACGGCGGUGGAAGCUUGGUUGGCGUGGGCCUGGCGGUGGCCCUGCUGGCGUCCGUGGUGAGGGCCUUGCCGUGUGGCCCGGCAAGGGUCUUGCCGUGGCGCGCUAUCGUCCCCAGCGAGGGCCUUGCCGAGGGUCUGGUGGCCUUCCUCGGCAAGGAUCUUGCCGAGGAUCGUCGUCUUCUAAUUCUCAUCUGAUCUUGAAUAUGUCUUCACAAAGAUCUGCAUGCCACUACGGAGGUGCCUCCCGAGCCCUGGCCCAACGUGAUGUUGGAGAUCGUGGGCUCAAGGGUGGCCCGCUCUGUUGGUGCAGGGCGAGCUGUUCCGGCAAGGAUCUUGUCGGGGCUGCUGAGGCUGCCCCGGCAAGGGUCUUGCCGGGGGAACCUGCUUCAUCCCUCUGCUCUUUGUGGUCUUGGCCUUGACGUUGCUCUUAUUAUCUUGGGCUUUGGUCUUACCUUGGCUCACCUCCCCUGUUCUGCUUGGCGUGACCGUAGGCGCGGCUCCGACUGCCCGUGCACAGAUAUAGGGGUACAAAAACGCACCCCUUUUUUUGGACACCGACAGAAGCCCCCGGGCCUGGGCCACACAUAAGCGCGAUACGUUGUUGGGCCAGGCCCAAAACGUGCGCGGGCAGGCGGGGCGGUUUUUACCGCGGUAAAACUUUUCGCGCGUUGCGCUUCCAACGGCCCGCGCGGCGUGGAGGGGUGUGCGUGACGUGGGCGCCAUGCGUGGGACGGUUUCCACACGCAUGCGUCACAUCGCAGUAAAAAGGCGGCUCGCGCCUUCCCCGUAAAAAGAGGGAGGCGUGGAGGCGUGCUACCUCUUGAGCACUGCGUUGCUUUUCCCUUGAAGAGGAAAGGGUGAUGCAGCAAAGUAGCGUAAGUAUUUCCCUCAGUUUUUGAGAACUAAGGUAUCAAUACAGUAGGAGGCUACGCGCGAGUCCCUCGCACCUGCACAAUACAAAUAAAUCCUCGCAACCAACGCGACAAGGGGUUGUCAAUCCCUUCACGGUCACUUACGAGAGUGAGAUCUGAUAGAUAUGAUAGGGUAAUAUUUUUGGUAUUUUUAUGAUAAAGAUGCAAAGUAAAAUAAAAGCAAAGGCAAUAACAAAGUGUUGGAAGAUUAAUAUGAUGAAGAUAGACCCGGGGGUCAUAGGUUUCACUAGUGGCUUCUUUCAAAAGCAUAAGUAUUUUACGGUGGGUGAACGAAUUACUGUUGAGCAAUUGACAGAAUUGAGCAUAGUUAUGAGAAUAUCUAAGUAUGAUCAUGUAUAUAGGCAUCACGUCCGAGACAAGUAGACCGACUCCUGCCUGCAUCUACUACUAUUACUCCACUCAUCGACCGCUAUCCAGCAUGCAUCUAGAGUAUUAAGUUCAUAAGAACAGAGUAACGCCUUAAGCAAGAUGACAUGAUGUAGAGGGAUAAAUUCAUGCAAUAUGAUAAAAACCCCAUCUUGUUAUCCUCGAUGGCAACAAUACAAUACGUGCCUUGCUGCCCCUACUGUCACUGGGAAAGGACACCGCAAGAUUGAACCCAAAGCUAAGCACUUCUCCCAUUGCAAGAAAGAUCAAUCUAGUAGGCCAAACCAAACUGAUAAUUCGAAGAGACUUGCAAAGAUAACCAAUCAUACAUAAAAGAAUUCAGAGAAGAUUCAAAUAUUGUUCAUAGAUAAUCUUGAUCAUAAACCCACAAUUCAUCGGUCUCAACAAACACACCACAAAAAGAAGAUUACAUCGAAUAGAUCUCCACGAGAGAGGGGGAGAACAUUGUAUUGAGAUCCAAAAAGAGAAAAGAAGCCAUCUAGCUACUAACUAUGGACCCAAAGGUCUGAGGUAAACUAUUCACACUUCAUCGGAGAGGCUAUGGUGUUGAUGUAGAAGCCCUCCGUGAUGGAUGCCCCCUCCGGCGGAGCUCCGGAACAGGCCCCAAGAUGGGAUCUCAUGGGUACAGAAGGUUGCGGUGGUGGAAUUAGGUUUUUGGCUCCGUAUCUGAUCGUUUGGGGUACGUAGGUAUAUAUAGGAGGAAGAAGUACGUCGGUGGAGCAACGUGGGGCCCACGAAGGUGGAGGGCGCGCCCUGGGGUGGGGGGGUGGGCGCGCCCCCUACCUCGUGGCCUCCUGGAAGCUUCUCUGACGUAAGGUCCAAGUCUCCUGGAUCAUGUUCGUUCCAAAAAUCACGCUCCCGAAGGUUUCAUUCCGUUUGGACUCCGUUUGAUAUUUUUUUCCCGCGAAACUAUGAAAUAGGCAAAAAAAAAUAGCAAUUCUGGGCUGGGCCUCCGGUUAAUAGGUUAGUCCCAAAAAUAAUAUAAAAAUGGAUGAUAAAGCCCAAUAUUGUCCAAAACAGUAGAUAAUAUAGCAUGGAGCAAUCAAAAAUUAUAGAUACGUUGGAGACGUAUCAAGGCGCGACUCAUUUAUUGAACGGGGCCAGGGCGCGGUCUUCAAGGCAUCCACUCCCCACGAUCACGGGGUGGGGAGAGGUUGCUUCGCCCGUCCCCUCGGUUCUGCAUGUAUGCCACGCGUCCUCCAUGCACCUAGGGUGGCAAGCGGUGGAGGCGGGAAACCGGGCCGUCGCUGGUUGGGGCAGCGGGUCGGUCCUGAUUCCCCGUGGCUUUGGUGGCUGGAUUGGCCGAGUGAGGCGGCCGAGCCCCGUCCCCGCCUCCUUAUAAAGAGGGGGAAGGGGGGAUGGCAUCCCACACUCUUCCGUCAUCUAUCUCCACUCGCUUCUACUUCUUCCUUUCACUCGCCAUGGAGAAAGGGAAUCAUGGUCCCUCAACGGUGGCGGCGAGGGUCGCCGCCCGACAGCACGUCCCUCCUCCUCCUGAGCCCGCGGUGGUGGAACCGGCCGCGUGGGGAAGGGGGAGGGGGCGAGGUCGUCGGCGAGGCCGGGGCAGAGGUCGUAGUGCUCGGGGAAGAGGAGGACGGGGCGGCGCACCGGCUUCACCCCCGCCAAUGAUGCCUUUUCCAAUGGAAGGCCAUGUUGGAGACCAGCCCCGUGAAUUUUUCAUCAGGCUGCGCUGGCCUUCGCGUCGCCGUCUUCGUCUUCCCGCCCCGUUCGCUCGGGAGAUGGAGUGUGACCCGCCCCAGUCCCUCAGAUUGCACAUGAGGGGUUGUGGGAAUGGGGGCACGCGGGUCGACGUCGACUUCCCGGCUCCCCGGGUCAUGUACCUCCGUCAUGGGUGGAAGACGUUCGCUCGCAUCCACAGCCUAACGGCGGGGCUCGUCCUCUACUUCAAAUUAAUGGAGGACGACCUGCUCUCCGUCAAGGUCUUCGGCGACUUCGGGACUCGCCUGAAGUGCUGCGUGGAGAGCUCCUCCGAUGGAGAUUCCGACGAUGGAAGCUCUACCUCGAGCGAAAGUGAUGAGGAGGACAACGGGGCAGACGGCGGGGACGAGUCCGACUAGGCGUCGGACGCCUGGUGCCUGGGCGGGUGCGGCAGCAGCAACAUCUGCACUUGGCCGCUCCUCCGGCAGAGUUUUGCCGGGGGUGGGGCCAGCUCCUUGAACUUCUCGGGGCCGUCUCCUUGGGCGGCUGGCGUCGAGAGGCUGCGGAAGAGGAAGAGGGCGGGCGGCAACGCCGUUAACUCGGAGUACGCGGGCACCGACGCCUUCGUGGCGUACUGCCGGUCCUGCCGCCUCGUCUUCCAGCUCCUUUCCCGGCACCGUCAUCACCGGCCCGCCCCUGGGCGGUCACCAAGGUGUUCUCUUGGUGCUUUCUGCCGCUCGUAGCUCGCCUAGGCGCCCCUUUUGCCCUUUCGCCUCAUUGACCUGCCUCCUGAGGAGAGGGACAAGAAAGGGAUUACGGGCAUCUUAUCCUUCUUCUUUAGUUUGUAAGCCUGCGGGCCUUUGUUAAAUUUAGAACUUGUAAUCCCCUUGCUCAUGUUUUUCAUUUCGUACGAACUGUACCUGUAUGGGAUGUUUUUAAUGAAAAAGGGAUGCUUGCCGGGUUUUUCGUUCGUGGGUAAACCCCGCGACAAGGAGCGAAUCCUUGUUAUUGUUUAAGAUAAACGUUUUUCGCCCGGCAACAGGCCUUGCCGCCCCCCACUCCACUCGACCGUUCUCGCGCUCUUGGCGGAGGCAGGGAUGAAGUGGGCUUUAGGCUCCUCGUUCUACCUCCUUGCCGCCGCGGCUACAACCAAAUCCGGACCUAGGAAAUAAUCCUUAGGUAUAGGAAAAAGGGGAGCACGACAGCCUAGAGAUAAAAACGAGGUUUCACAUGCCCCAGUCCUGUUCUGAAAUGCAUGACAGAGGAUAAAAGACUUAUCUGGAUCUGCAGCCCCCAGCAAUCUCAUCUUGCCGCGGUUGGAACCUUGUGCUUGCAGCCCCCGGCAACUCUGGUUUACCGGGGUCGGGACGCCGGUCCGUUUUCUUUCUUCCAAGUAGCUCGACAGAAGUGCUCAUGUGCCCUGCGAACCAAAGGAGGACGGAAGAGAAACAGAUAGACGCGCAUUCGACCUCUAAGCUAGGGGUUAGUCGCUGCUGAGCACUAUCAACCCUAACCAAGGAAGAGACUCGACCUAGCAUGCAUGCUAUGACUGAGGGCGCCAGCGCUUCAUUUAUUUAUGCUCAGGGUCUGUGCCUGGCUUUGUACGAAGGGUUACAUGCCUUGCCGGCAAAGCUUGUACAAAAGGUGGCUUGCCGGGAGGCCCAGCAAGCCGCGCCUUAUGGGUAAAACUUGCGAAGAUGCUCGAUGUUCCAGGAGUUCCUCACUGGGAUGGCAUCUUCGGUCUCCAGGUGGACUGCGCCGGGCCUGGUGACUCGUAUUACCCGAUAAGGGCCUUCCCACUUCGGCGUCAACUUGUUGGCAUUCUCGGCCGACUGAACGCGCCGAAAAACAAGGUCGCCUUCCUCAAAGCUUCGGGCAUGAACCUUGCGGCUAUGGUAGCAGCGCAAGGCUUGCUGGUAGCGCGCUGCUCUCACAGCCGCCCGAAGACGAUCUUCCUCAAGGAGCGUCGCAUCAUCUUGGCGCAACUGCUCUUGCUCAAGCUCAUCAUAAGCGAGCACUCGAGGUGACCCGUAUAUGAGUUCCGUGGGGAGAACUACUUCUGCCCCGUAGACCAGGGCAAAAGUUGUCUGGCUGGUGGCUCGAUUUGGCGUCGUCCUGAUCGACCAAAUAACCGCCGGCAAUUCAUCAAUCCAGCGCCUUCCGCUCUUGCGCAGCUUGUCAAAAGUCUUUGUCCUUAGGCCUCGCAACACUUCAGCAUUCGCCCUCUCCGCUUGGCCGUUGCUCCGUGGGUGUGCCACGGAAGCAAAACAGACCUUGCUGCCGAGGUCUUGAAUGUAUUGCAUGAAGGUGUGGCUCGUGAACUGCGUGCCGUUGUCGGUGAUGACUCUAUUUGGCACACCAAAACGGCAGACCAGUCCUUUAAAAACUUGACAGCUGACUGAGCAGUCACCUUUCUCACUGCUUCCACCUCCGGCCACUUUGUGAACUUGUCGAUUGUAACGUACAAGUAUUCAAAGCCCCCGACAGCGCGGGGGAAAGGGCCCAGUAUGUCGAGCCCCCAGACCGAGAAUGGCCAGGAGAGAGGGAUUGUUUGAAGGGCUUGGGCUGGUUGAUGAAGCUUCUUUGAAUGAAACUGACACGCUUCUGUAACGCCCCGGAUCCGAUGCGCCAGGUGUCACACAGUUAUUCGCUGUCGUUGCCAUGUCAUUUGCUUGCGUGUUGCAUUUUGCCAUGUCAUCAUAUGCAUUUCAUAUCAUGUCAUCAUGUGCUUCGCAUUUGCAUACGUGUUCGUCUCAUGCAUCCGAGCAUUUUCCCCGUUGUCCGUUUUGCAAUCCGGCACUCCUAUGUCACCCGGCGCCCCCUUUUGUCUUCUUCUCGUGUGCGGAUGUUAAACAUUUUCGGAAUGGACCGAGUCUUUUCAAGUGGCCUUGGUAUACCACCGGUAGACCACCGGUCAAGUUUCGUUCCAUUUGGAGGUCGUUUGGUACUCCAACGGUUAACCGGGUAACCGCAAAGUCCGUUUUGGUAUUGCAGCAAACCCCCCUUUCAAACAGCCACAAAACCCCUCUAAGUCCCUGUCAUGCUCUCGGUCGUUCGAUCACGAUCGCGUGGGCGAAAACCGCACCCCGUUUGGACUCUCCUAACUCCCUCUACCUAUAUAAACACCCCCUCCCCGAAAUUUCGGAUCAAUUCCACCCUAACCCUAAUAUUUUUCCCUCCGCGCCGCCGGACGUUUCGUCCUCCGCAGCCGGACAUGUCCAUUUCGCCGCCGCCGCCGCCCGCGGCCAAUCGGCACGCGCCACCUGUCCNNNNNNNNNNNNNNNNNNNNNNNNNNNNNNNNNNNNNNNNNNNNNNNNNNNNNNNNNNNNNNNNNNNNNNNNNNNNNNNNNNNNNNNNNNNNNNNNNNNNNNNNNNNNNNNNNNNNNNNNNNNNNNNNNNNNNNNNNNNNNNNNNNNNNNNNNNNNNNNNNNNNNNNNNNNNNNNNNNNNNNNNNNNNNNNNNNNNNNNNNNNNNNNNNNNNNNNNNNNNNNNNNNNNNNNNNNNNNNNNNNNNNNNNNNNNNNNNNNNNNNNNNNNNNNNNNNNNNNNNNNNNNNNNNNNNNNNNNNNNNNNNNNNNNNNNNNNNNNNNNNNNNNNNNNNNNNNNNNNNNNNNNNNNNNNNNNNNNNNNNNNNNNNNNNNNNNNNNNNNNNNNNNNNNNNNNNNNNNNNNNNNNNNNNNNNNNNNNNNNNNNNNNNNNNNNNNNNNNNNNNNNNNNNNNNNNNNNNNNNNNNNNNNNNNNNNNNNNNNNNNNNNNNNNNNNNNNNNNNNNNNNNNNNNNNNNNNNNNNNNNNNCGACCCCGCCGCCGGCGCCCGCGCUGCCGCCGGCCAUCGCCCCGCCGUCGCCUGGCCUGGCCUCCCCUCCACUCCGGCCGCCGCCGAUCGACUCCGGCGAGCCGGCGCCCGAUCCAGAACGAGCCCGCGUUGACUUCGUUCCCCCCCUCGAGGUCGUUAUUUUUCUAAGUCCCCAGUUCUUAUUAAUAUGUGCACAUGUUCAACUGUGUGUAACUUCAUGCAUGUAGCUCCGAUUCGCGCGUAUAAUAUGUCGAAUUGUUCGUCCCGUGAUGCUCUACAUUUUGUUCAAUUGCACCAUGUUCAUUAGAGGUCAUCUUGAUGCCUUAAUCAUCGUUGCAAGAGGGCUAGUUGCUGUUAUCUGCUGAUUCUUAUCAGAACUUGGAGAUUUGUCAUUUUUGUAUCAUUUAAUCUGUGCAUCUUUUGGGCAUGACCUCUACAUGUGUUUUGAAGUAUGCCAUGCCAUCUUUCCAGUGGUGUAGUCCAUGUAUUUGUGUGAUCUCUGUGGUGACUAGCACAAGCACGCAAAGUAGGCCCCGUAAUAUUUCUGAUUUCAGGGACUUAGUGAUUUCUCUAAGUCCUUGUCUGCUGUAAUUUUGUUGCCUUGUUAACUUGAUGCUACAGAGAGAUCCAUGCAUAUUUUGGAGAUGUUCAGUAAGGAUGUUUUGUAGAUAUUGUUAUAAUUGAUCCAUUACUGCCCUUGUUUGCAAUUAUGGUGUGCCAUAGCAUGUCUCAAUCUUGCUCUACUUUUGCUAUAAAAUAUUUCUGGCAGAUUCUUAACAUGAUAUGCAAUCUUGCCAAGCUUAUUGUAAUUGAUCCAUACAUGCUAUGAUUAUACUCUUGCCAUGGUUAGCUUCAUAAACAUGCCAUCUUGCUGUAGAUAUACUUAGGUUAUCAUUCAUUGCUCUGUAGUGAGUGCAUCAAGCUCACAAAGAGGCCUACAUAUUAUAGUUUCUGCCAUGCUCUGUUUUUUGCCAAGUCUGAAACCAGAUAACGAAACUUGCUAUGUUCACAUGCUUGCCAUCAUAUCUUCUGGUCCUUUUUCGCUUAUGGUCAGUAAGGGACUUUUGUUAUAUGCUUUGAGUAGAUUCAUGCCAUGCCUUUCUUUGCUAUGUUAAGUCCCUGUAGCAUGUUGAUUUCGUGCUCUGAACAUUGCUACCUGAUGCUGUUUCUGUCAUGUCCAGUAAUUCUGCCAAGUCUGUGAACCUGUUAUUAUUUGCAAUCUUGCCAUGUCCUUUUGAGCAUUUUCUAUUGAUUUCUGGAGAUAGCUCAGUGUUCAUGUUUUGUUGUGCUUUACCUGUACAUCAUGUCCUUGUCUUUUGUUUUCAUGUUGAGUUGCUGUAGCAUAUUGUUUUGAUGCUUGCCAUAUGCCUAGUUGCUGUUUUGGACAGAUUGUUGCUAUGUCUUGUUUGGAGUGUAUGUGUUGCACCGUUGCUCCGUUUUGAGCAUGCUCUAUAUGAAACUUGCUUAGUUUUGCAUGUAGUCUCAUAUUAUCAUGUUGCAUCCUUGUGUUGAGGUGUGUGCUUGAUGUUUGUAUGCAUUUUGCACCAAUGCCAUGCUCAUCUUGUCUUGCUCAUAUCUUCUAGGCCGUAGCUCCGAAUCUAAUGAACUUUAUAUGUAACUUGACUAGAAUUUCGUGUAGAUCAUCAUGGUGCUCUUUAACUUGCUGUUUAACAACUUUAACUUAAUGCUUGUUCAGUUCUGGACCAAUUUUGAAAUUUGCAUAUGAGGACUUACCGGAAUUGUUAUGUGUUGUUUCCGGCCUCAUUUAAACUUGCCUUGAUGUGUUGCUCUUGUAUGCAUCCUUUCUUGCCGUGUGUAGCCUCAUAUUGCCUUGUCAUGCAUCAUUCUUGAUUGAGCAUCAUGCCUUGUUCAUGUGUGGUGUGUUUACCUUGUUGUGUGUUUCUUCUCGAUAGCUCCUGUGUCGUUGCGAUCGUGAGGAUUCGUUCGUCUUCGUGGCUUCAUCUUCUUCAUGGAUUCGUUCUUCUUCCUAGCGGGAUUUCAGGCAAGAUGACCGUCACCUUGGAUCUCAUUACUAUCAUUGCUAUGCUAGUUGCUUCGCUCUAUCGCUUUGUUGCGCUACCUAUUCACUUGUUCCUCAAGCCUCCCAUUUUGCCAUGAACCUCUAACCUUUGUCACCCUUCCUAGCAAACCAUUGUUUGGCUAUGUUACCGCUUUGCUCAGCCCCUCUUAUAGCGUUGCUAGCUGCAGGUGAAGAUGAAGAUUGCUCCAUGUUGGAUUAUGUUUAUGUUGGGAUAUCACAAUAUCUCUUAUAUUAUUAAUGCAUCUAUAUAUUUGGUAAAGGGUGGAAGGCUCGGCCUUAUGCCUGGUGUUUUGUUCCACUCUUGCUGCCCUAGUUUCCGUCAUACCGGUGUUAUGUUCCCGGAUUUUGCGUUCCUUACACGGUUGGGUGAUUUAUGGGACCCCCUUGACAGUUCGCCUUGAAUAAAACUCUUCCAGCAAGGCCCAACCUUGGUUUUACCAUUUGUCCAGCCUAUUUCUUUUCCCUAGGGAGUCGCUCUCUCGAGGGUCAUCUUAUUUUAACCCCCCCGGGCCAGUGCUUCUCUAAGUGUUGGUCGAACUGAGUAGACUGCGGGGCCACCUCGUGGAAACUCGAGGUCUGGUUUUACUCGUAGGAUGUCUCAUCCGAUGUUGCCCUGAGAACGAGAUAUGUGCAGCUCCUAUCGGGAUGUCGGCGCAUCGGGCGGCUUUGCUGGUUUUGUUUUACCAUUGUUGAAAUGUCUUGUAACCGGGAUUCCGAGACUGAUCGGGUCUUCCCGGGAGAAGGAAUAUCCUUCGUUGACCGUGAGAGCUUAUCAUGGGCUAAGUUGGGACACCCCUGCAGGGUAUUAUCUUUCGAAAGCCGUGCCCGCGGUUAUGUGGCAGAUGGGAAUUUGAUAAUAUCCGGUUGUAGAGAACCUGACACUUGACCUUAAUUAAAACGCAUCAACCGCGUGUGUAGCCGUGAUGGUCUCUUCUCGGCGGAGUCCGGGAAGUGAACACGGUUUCUGGGUUAUGUUUGACGUAAGUAGGAGUUCAGGAUCACCUCUUGAUCAUUGCUAGUUUCACGACCGUUCCUUUGCUUUCUCUUCUCGCUCUUAUUUGCGUAAGAUAGCCACCAUACAUUGCUUAGUCGCUGCUGCAACCUCACCACCUUAUCCUUUCCUUUCCCUUUAAGCUUUGCUAGUCUUGAUACCCAUAAUAAUGGGAUUGCUGAGUCCUCGUGGCUCACAGUUUACUACACCACCAGUUGCAGGUACAGGUUGUGCGAUGAUCAUGACGCGAGAGCGAUGUGUACUUGUUUUGGAGUUCUUCUUCUGCUUCUUCUUCGCUCAGGGGAUAGGUUCCAGGUCGGCAGCCUGGGCUAGCAGGGUGGAUGUCGUUUGAGUCUCUGUUUAUGUUUCAUCCGUAGUCGGAUGUUGAGCUUAUGUAUGAUGUAUUGAUGUAUCCUUGCGGCAUUUGUAUGCCUUGUAUGUAUCCCCAUAUAUUUUGUAAUGUCGAUGUAAUGAUAUCCACCUUGCAAAAGCGUUUCAAUAUGCGGGUCUAUCCUUGGUGGGACCUUCGAGUUCCUGUAGGAUAGGGUCGCAUAUUGGGCGUGACAGCUUCACACUUGGUUACUAGUGCCGUCGCAUCCUGGAGGGCGGUGGGCCAGAAAAAACCUUGUCGGAACGCCUUCCCGGCAAGGGCCCUUGACCCUAUGUGGGAGCCACAUAUGCCUCCAUGUAUCUCCGCCAACAGCUCCAGUCCUUCUAACUGGGGGAUGCACUUCAAUUUCAUGCCAUUCGGCCUUCUCCUGUACAGGACAUCAUCGACGAACUGGUACAGGGCGGACCGACGGGCUACUUUCUCCGCUUCUUCCUGCUCCUCAGGAAGCUCCCCUGUUUGGAGGAAUCGAACGGUAUGCUGCGCCCAUGCCGGAGCCCGGGCUCGACGACAAGGACCAAAGGCAUUUCUUCCGCCAUGGGAGCGGCUGUCUCUACGGCUAGGGCUUGACGCCCUGCCGGAGGUAGCUACUCUUGGGCAGGCUCGGCGUCCGUGGCGGCACCCUUGCCGGCAGCCCCAGAGGGUUCGGUAGGAAAGUACUUGCCGGGACCCGACUUCCUUCGCUUGUUCUGCCCCGUUGAUGGUUUGACGGAUGGUUGAGUUAGCUGGAGCAAAAAGGUACCUGGUUCCACAGGUAGCUUGAAUGCGGCACACUUUGACAGGUAAUCGGCGGUGUCGUUCUCCAUUCGGGGGACGUGCUCCGCUAGGAUACCGUCAAAGCGCUCCUCCAGCUUCCUCACUUCAUCUACGUAGGCUUCCAUCAAUGGGCUUUGGUAAUCCUUAUUGACCUGCCUGACAACAAGCUGCGAGUCACCCCUGACGAUGAGCUUCUUAACCCCGAGGUCUGCCGCGAUCCUGAGACCGGCAAGCAAUCCCUCGUACUCAGCAGUGUUGUUGGUGGACAUCUCUCGGGGAAAGUGCAUCUGGAUCACGUACUUGAGGUGCUCCCCGGUAGGUGCGACGAGUAGCACACCGGCAUCGGCGCCUUGCAGCGAGAAAGCCCCAUCAAAGUACAUGAUCCAGUCGCGAUCUUCCUCCUUGCCGGGGAGUGUGGUCUCCUGGAUUUCUUCGUCAGGUGUUGAGGUCCAUUCUGCAAUGAACUCCGCCAAGACUCUGCUCUGAAUUGUCGAGGUACUUUCAAACUUCAAACCGAAACUUGACAACUCUAAGGCCCACUCCACAAUCCUCCCGGUUGCAUCCGGGUUAUGCAGUAUCCGUUGCAAAGGGAGGCGGGUGACGACAGUGAUCUCGUGGGCUUGGAAGUAAUGACGCAGCUUCCUCGAGGCCAUAAGAAGGCCGAAGAGCAAUUUCUGCACACCGGAGUACCUCGAUCUAGCCCCCUGCAAGAGGGAGCUGACAAAGUAAACCGGGUGCUGCAUCAUCUUCUUCUUCUGCACCACCCCACUUGACUGCGCGGGCACUGCCUCGGUGGCAUCAGACUCUGCCGGGGGCCUCGCCUUGCCGGCACCAGGCCCUGCCGGGGGAAUCUUGGGCUUGCCAUCCGCUGGUUCUGCCGCCGUCACUGCCUCCUCGUUGACCUCCCUCUGUGCCACUAGCGCGGUGCUGACCACUUGAUUUGUCGCCGCCAGAUACAGCAGCAACGGCUCUUGUGGUUUAGGCGCAACCAGUAUUGGCGUGGAGGAAAGGUAUUUCUUCAGAUCCUGCAAUGCUUCCUCGGCUUCUGGGGUCCAUUCCAUUGGGCCUGCCUUCUUCAAGAUUUUGAAGAAAGGAAGGGCGCGCUCGGCGGACUUGGAGAUGAAUCGGCUCAUGGCGGCAACGUAGCCGGUGAGCCGACGCACAUCCUUGAUCCGCUUGGGCGCCUCAAUCUGCUCAAUAGCCUUGAUUUUGUCUGGGUUUGCCUCGAUUCCGCGCUGCGAUACAAAGAACCCGAGAAGCUUGCCGGAUGGAACGCUGAAGACACACUUCUCAGGGUUCAGCUUGAGGUUGAUCUUGCGCAGGUUGGCAAAUGUCUCUUCCAGAUCUUCCACAAGAGUUGGCCCGUCCUUGGUUUUGACUACUAUGUCAUCCAUGUAGGCCUCCAUAUUUCUAUGGAGCUGAGGUUCAAAACCAAUUUGGACUGCUCUUGCAAAUGUUGAGCCAGCGCUCUUCAACCGAAAGGCAUCCGUAAAAAGCAAUACGUACCACAUGGGGUGAUGAACGCUGUCUUUUCUUCAUCCUCUCUUGUCAUGAAGAUAUGGUGGUAGCCCGAGUAGGCGUCGAGGAAUGACAACAGAUCACACCCGGCCGUGGAGUCAACAAUCUGGUCGAUGCGCGGCAACGGGAAGGGGUCCUUAGGACAAGCCUUAUUGAUAUCUGUGUAAUCAAUACACAACCUCCACUUCCCAUUCGCCUUGCGCACCACUACCGGAUUGGCCAACCACAUCGGGUGGAGCACUCCCCUCACCAAACCUGCCGCUUCCAACUUCCUGAUCUCCUCCGUGAUGAACUCCUGCCUCUCCAGAGCCUGCUUUCUGACCUUCUGCUGGAUGGGCCGCGCAUGGGGGCUGACAACUAGGUGGUGCUCAAUCACCUCCCUGGGAACAACGGGGAUGUCGGAUGCUUUCCAUGCAAACACGUCGACAUUCGACCGCAGGAAGGUGACGAGCGCGCCUUCCUAUUUGCUACCGAGGGUGGAGCCUAUGGUGAAGGCCCCUCCCGUGCCAUCCUCCCUGGUGGACACCUUCUUGGUUUGCGGCGGCUCGGCUCUAGAUCUCUUGCUCUUGUCGGUAGAGCUCUCUGGCACGGCCUCGACGGCAGCACAACACUCCGAAGAGGUGCGCUUGCCGGAGUGGGUGCGAGAGGUCUUGCCGGGCUUCUUCCUCCCUCCCGGGGCUUCAGCGGCAGGAGCAGGUGCCUUGGCGGCAGCUGCUGCAACUGCCUCCCGGUAGAGUUGGUCGGCGCAAAUCAGCGCGUCCUUCUUGUCGGAGGGGACGGAGAUGAUGGUCAACGGCCCGAGCAUCUUUAGCAUGUUGUAGGCGUAGUGUGACGCCGCCAUAAACUUGGCUAGUGCCGGGCGGCCGAGGAUCCCGCUGUAGGGCAAGGGGAUCUCGGCCACGUCGAAGACGAUCCUCUCCGUCCUGUAGUUCAACUCUCCUCCAAAUGUCACGGGCAGUGUGACCUUUCCCUUCGGCUGGCUCCUCCCCGGAUUGACCCCUUGAAACGUGCCCGUUUCCUCGAGGUCUCCAUCAGGGAUUUGCAACCUUUUGAUCACGACAGGCGAGAUCAGGUUUAGGCCGGCCCCGCCGUCAACCAACAUCUUGUUCACCCUGAAGUUGCGUAUUGUUGGUGAGACCAACAAUGGCAAACACCCGACCGCGGUAGUGCGGUCAGGGUGGUCUUCGGCGUCAAAGAUGAGGGGCGUGCUGGACCACUUCAGCGGCUUCUGAGCGUCGAACGACGGCUCUUCUGCUGUAAUCUCACGCGCCCACUGCUUGAGCUAGCGGUGAGAGGUAUGCAGCGAGGCGCCGCCAUCGACGCACAUGGCCUCCGUAGCCUUCUGGAACCCUUGCUCACCAGACUCGUCGUCCUUGUCGUGAUCAUCGUCUUCUUGUUUCUUGUCGCGGCCCCGGGCGGGCCUCUCUUGCUGGUUGUCCUUGCCGGGGUAGCCUCCUUGGCCGCCACGCUUCUUGCCGGAUCCCUCAGCACCGUCCUGGUCCUUCUCCUUGUCCCGCCUCUCGUACUCAGCCUUUUGCUUCUUAGGAAGCAGCUCGACUUGUCGGCAGUUCUGGAGGUCGUGGCCCUUGGUGCGGUGGAUCUUGCAGUAUUGCUUGCCGGAGCUCCCUGGCUUGUCGGUAGCUGCCAAGGCCCGGCAGGCGGCGCACCAGGCAAUCUCCUUGUCGGGAGCGCCUGCCUUGACCUUCUUGCCGGCACCGGUGUCGCCAGAUCCCUCAACGGCAAGCACGGCCUUACCCUUGCGUUUCCUGUUGUGACGCCGGCCCUUCUUCGUCGGGGUAGCGGCGUCCUCAUCGGUAGAGUCGGUUUCCGCGCCGGCGUCUUCGCCGGGGUACUUCCUUCCCUCUUCAGCCCGGGCGCAUCUAUCGGCCAGAACGUAGAGCUCGGCCACAUCCUUAAUCUUGGUCAUCGCCAGCUCCUCGCGCAUCUUGCGAUUGCGCACGUUCUGGUGGAAUGCGCUAAUCACAGCGGCAGGAUGAACGUCGGGGAUGUUGUACUGCACCCGGCUGAAUCUCUGGAUGUACUUGCGCAGGGUCUCCCCUUCCUUCUGGGGAAUGAUAUGCAGAUCACUGGCCUGGCCAUGAGCUUGGUGGCCUCCUGUGAAGGCGCCAACGAACUCAUGGCAUAGAUCCGACCAAGAAGAAAUGGAAUCCACCGGCAAGUGCAUCAACCAAGACAUCACAUUGGGCUUGAGCGCCAGCGGGAAAUAGUUGGCAAGCACCUUGUCGUUGCGAGCCCCAGCCUGCAUCGCGAUGGUGUAGAUGCUGAGGAACUCAGACGGAUGGGUCUUGCCAGUGUACUUCUCGCCGACGUCGGGCUUGAACGUGCGGUGGGACGACCACUGGAACUGCUGCAGCUCACGGGUAAAGGCCGGGCAGCCCACCUCGUAAGGUAGGCCGCCGGAGCCCCCCGGUGCCGGGUGGUCCAUAGCGGGUCCCGCCCGCUUGUCCGACUGGCGGCGCGUUUCGCGCCGGCGCUCGACGGUGGUUCGAGCGUCUUUGUGAGCUCGUUCCCGAAGGACCUGGCGCUGGUCGCGGAGGGUCCGCGGGUCGGAUGACACUAUGGAGAUGUUAUCACAAGCGUCGUCACGACGGGCUGAUGCCCGCGGCGGCUGGCGAGGAGGAGGAGAGUGCACCGUGGGCGCAACUCCCCCGGUCCUCCCAGCGCCAGCAUGCGGUGGCUCGGUGGAGCGCCGACCCGAGGGUCCCGCCGGUCGUGGAUUGUCUUUAUUGGCGACGGCGAUGAGGCUUCGGGUGGUGGCCCUCCACUCGUCAAGCUUCUCCGCAGCAGGAGGGAAGUCGAGGAGUAGCUGUGCGCGCGCCAAAGCUUCUGCCGGCGUGGGCGGCGGCGACAGCUACGUGGAUCGCGGCGCGCUUCGACUUCUAACUACGUUAGAAGGAGCUCCGUUACAACCCAGCGGCUACGUGCCAUUUUCGCCAGCGCUUCGGCGGGCGUGCUGAACCCCUUCAUCCUGCGGACGACGCACUGGGCUCUUCCCACGGUGGUGCCCAGGGUCACCAACGCGGUGACGCUGCUCGACACGCACACCAUGGAAGAGCGCACAGUGGUCGCCGGUGUGGGCGUCCUGGAGGUCGCUGCGCCGCCCGGAGGUGGCACAACGACACCCCUGGAGGGCCCGCGCCGCCUACGGGGGGCCCAGCUCCGUCUUUGGAUCCGGCGACGUGUAGCCGGUCGUCUGGUGCGCGAACGACGUCGCUCGCCAGGCUCUGACUACCAGGGCGUUGCUGGUGCUCGCGGACCGCGACCCGGGUCCUGUCUGUGACCGGUCCACUGCCCGCCCGCACCGGCACGGGCCGUUCGGCUCCCAACGAGCCGACCGCCGUGGCUGUCUUCUUCUUAGGAGCCAUGGCGACGAAGAACUACUAGGCUAACUACUAGACCAGAUUCUCACAAUUGCGCCCCCUACCUGGCGCGCCAAAGAUGUCGGUGUGGAACGACACCUACGGGAUCACAAGAAUCCCUACUACGGUUGCCGGGGUGCGGGGUUGCAAGAAGAGCAGGGCUAGUAGACAACACAAAGAUCGUUUACCCAGGUUCGGGCCGCGAGGAUGGGUAAAACCCUAGUCCUGCUUUGGUGGGUGUAUUUUCAGAGAGUUCUUGAGCUCUCGAACAAGCUGUGGUCAGUGCGUGGUUCAAAAGAGCCGAAUCCUUCUCCAGUAUGCCAUGGGCCUCCUUUUAUAGUCGAAAGGGGUUGCCACAGUGGCACACAGGAGGUGGAAAGGCGUACAGUGCCCUGAGCUUAUCGCUCGUAUUACAGGACAAGAUGCAUUUAAUGCGUAGCUUAGGUGUCCCCUUGCUUUAUUGGGGAUGGGGGCGAGGCCCGUCCCGUCCGUCGCCGCUCCUCCUCGCUUUGACACGCGCCCUGGCCAGUGAGGCGCGUGGUGCCAUGUAAGCAGGCAGGCAGGCAGCAGAGGUGGCGCAGUGGCGGAGCCUUCACGAAGAUAUGCAUGCCGCCACGUAGGCGCUUGAUGAGUUGGCCUAGGAGCUGCAUGUUGCCACGCAGGUGCCCGCCCAGCUGGUUGGGCUGGCAGCUGCAUGUGAACAGCGGUGGAAGCUUGGUUGGCGUGGGCCUAGCGGUGGCCCUGCUGGCGUCCGUGGUGAGGGCCUUGCCGGGUGGCCCGGCAAGGGUCUUGCUGUGGCGCGCUGUCAUCCCCGGCGAGGGCCUUGCCGGGGGUCUGGUGACCUUCCUCGGCAGGGAUCUUGCCGAGGAUCGUCGUCUUCUAAUCCUCAUCUGAUUUUGAAUAUGUCUUCACAAAGAUCUGCAUGCCACCACGGAGGUGCCUCCCGAGCCCUGGCCCAACGUGAUGUUGGAGACCAUGGGCUCAAGGGUGGCCCGCUCUGUUGGUGCGAGGCGAGCUGUCCCGGCAAGGAUCUUGCCGGGGCUGCUGAGGCUGCCCCAGCAAGGGUCUUGCCGGGGAACAUGCUUCGUCCCUCUGCUUUUUGUGGUCUUGGCCUUGGCGUUGCUCUUAUUAUCUUGGACUUUGGUCUUACCUUGGCUCACCUCCCCUGUUCUGCUUGGCGUGACCGUAGGCGCGUCUCCGACUGCCCGUGCACAUGUAUAGGGGUACAAAAACGCACCCUUUUUUUUGUACACCGACAUAUAUCUAUCCAUUCUUGCUACGACUUGUUGAAUAUUCGAAUGAUAAUCAUAAAAGAGAAUGUUGACUAGUGAAUUGUUUAUUUUGCAGAAAAGUGCGCAAAGGCACUAUAAUCGUCAAGAUUUCUACUAUGUGGCUAACGAGAAGAGACAAGGGUAUGAAAGAAAUACGUCAAGGCCUGAGCGUGAAGGAAAGAAGUAAUGUAGGGGAGCAAACUAAAAGAAGAGGAGGAUCUUCUUGGGCAUAAAUGAAGAGAAGAGGAGGGCCAAUGUGCAAAUGUGGCAGAUCAGAGAGGGGAAUGAAAUCCCUAGCGGCACCUCAUUGCAAAUCGGGCCUGGCCACAUCUCCAUCUCUCUCCCCCUCACCACUUCUUCCACCACCGGCCGCCGCCGCGGCCAGGCCGGCGUGGCGGCGCGCCACCAACACCACCGCGCCAUAGCACCACCCAUAAUCUCCAUCCAUCUGCGCCUCCCGGCCACCCAUCAUUCCCUCCAUCCACAGCGCCGCCAGAACCCAUCCAUCAUCACCUCCAGCCGGCGCCGCCGCCUCGCCUACAGCCAUCUCCCUGCUGUCCGCUGCUCUCCUCUUCUUUCCAACCUUCUUCUCCUCACCAUGCUGCUGCUCCUCCCUCUCAAUCUCUACUGCUGCUCUUCCUUGCCCCCCCACCCCCCCGUGCUGCUGCCUCUCCUUCCCUUCGUUGCUUGCUGCUUCUCCUUUGAUCCCUUUGCUACUGCUCCUCUUCUUCGUGCCCAACCUCCGCUGCUGCUCCUCUUUCCUGCUGCUACUCCCUCUCACCACGCCUCUGCUGCUCUCUUUCCCCUCCUGCUGCUGCUCUCCUCACCAUGCUGCUUCUCCUCUUGCUGCUGCUGCCCGCCCCCGACCUCCUCCUGCUAUCUCUCUCUACUUCCCCUGCUACCUUUCUUCUCUGAACCUACCUACUGCUUCUCUCUCUCUCUGAAAUUGCUGUAGUACUAAGAUUUGUAAGACAGUGUACUACAACCUGUUAAUUGUUCAGUUCAGAUUUUUGCUUGUUUAGUAUUAUUCUGUUGAUCUGUGCUAAUCUUGUGGCUAGUAUAAUUUCGUUUCUGUUGUUACUUGUGUAACCUGAACCGUGGUUAGUAUCCUAUUUGCAUAUGUGUGUUUUGUAGUCCCUGUAUUAGUUACGUACCUGUGAUAUAUAAAUGUGUGUGUGCGUGUGUGUGUGUAAUUCAUCAAAAUAUAUUGUUGUGUGAUGAUGAUAUAUGUUCAGUCUAGAGACACGUUAUUUUUCUUGCUUUGUAGAUCGAUGUGAACUAGUACCCUUGUGUGUUUCUGUUGUCACUAGUUAAAUUGAUCACCUAUGUACUACUUGUUGUAGAAACUUGUUACAUUAGUCCUUGUGCUAGCUAUGCACCUGUGAUAAAUAUGUGUGUGAUGUGAAACAUUU